GCUUCAUUCCCAUCAGCGCGAUGGACCGGCUGACAGUGGCGGCGCGCGCGGUGAAGCCAGCGCGGCCGAAGAGAGCCGAGACGACUGCGACCGCACGUGCACGCGCACGGGCAAAGCUCGCACGGCGCAGCGGCGGUGUUGGCGGCCGCGCGCGCUCGCGUACGUGCGCACAGGCAAAACCCGCACGGCACAGCGGCGGCGACGACGACCAAGCUCACACACUCGUGGACGCACGUGGGGGCAGAGCCCUCACGGUGCGACGGCAGCGGCGGCUAAUUUCCUGGUACGACAAUAGCAGCAAUCAUGGCGGCGACACGCAGUGGCCGAAGCCCACGCGACGGCGACGACGACGACGACUACCACCCAACAGGUCAUCCUCCUCGACGGUGCCCCAUCCCCAGCUCUCCUCCUGAUGCUCCCCUCAUUCCUCCGCUGGAGAUGGCUGGAUCUAGGAGGUGGAUGAAAGAGGUUCGGUGGCAAGAGGCGGUCCGCGGCAGGCCCACGCUGGAGUCCGGGAUGGUCGUCGUCAUCGUCGAUGGCAGCGGCAGAAGAGAGGUUCAGUGGGACCCGAAAUCACCGGCGAGGGCGAGCAGAGAGGGGCCCGCCAGACGGCGAGGGAUCAGGCCGCGAGGGGUGCGUUGGUGAUGGCUCCGUCGGCGACAUCAUCCUUUGCAGCAGAACCGGCUCUGUGUUUCUAAGGGAGUUAGCCGAACUCGUAAUCAUAGGUUCUCCAGGCUAUAUUUUAUAUACUAGAAAAAAUAUCCAUGCAUUGAACCAGACUAAGAUAUUUUAAUUCUGUAAUUAAAAU